rnacentral:rRNA from 1 species
UACGUAGGGGGCGAGCGUUGUCCGGAUUUAUUGGGCGUAAAGAGCUCGUAGGUGGUUCGGUAAGUCGGAUGUGAAAUCUCCAGGCUCAACCUGGAGGGGUCAUUCGAUACUGCCGUGACUAGAGUUCGGUAGAGGAGUGUGGAAUUCCUGGUGGAGCGGUGAAAUGCGCAGAUAUCAGGAGGAACACCGGUGGCGAAGGCGGCAUCCUGGACCGGCAUUGACGCUGAGGCGCGAAAGCCAGGGGAGCAAACGGG